CUUGGGUAGUAUUAGAUAUGAUCUUGAAACUCAAAGAAUUUGGCGGUGUUUUAGUCCUUUCAGAGGAACCUGUCCCGUAAUCGAUAGUCCACGUUUUACCUUACUUAAUCUUGUUAUCAGCUUGUAUACCGCCGUCGUCAGAAUGUCCUUAGAGGGUUAGAAUUUUCUUGAUUUUUAAUUGAAAUUGAUGUCAGGUCAAGGUGCAGUUUAUGAUUAAGUGGAGAUGGGUUACAAUAAAUUUAUUUAUACGGAAAGCAGAUGGCAGAAUUUGUUUGAAGGUGGAUUUGAUUGUAAUGAAUUUAAUUAAGUUAAUUUGACUUUGGCUCUAAAACAUGCACACAUCGCCCGUCGCUCUUA
rnacentral:rRNA from 1 species